rnacentral:lncRNA from 1 species
CCCACAAAGAGGACUUCGUCAAGGUGAUCCAUUAUCUCCAUAUCUUUUUCUGUUUUGUGUAGGUCUUAUCAAGCCAAAUCAAAAAAGUAGAAUCCCAAAAUAUGCUACAUGAAAUCUCAAUUUGCAGAUAAGCCCCUCCAAUUUCUCAUCUUUUUUUUUUUUUUUUGUUGAUGACAGUAUCAUCUCUAGUCGGGCAUCUCAAUCUGAGGCUGAUGUGUCGCUGAAAAUUAUUUCAGAUUAUAAGCAAUCAUCUGGACCAAAAGUCAACCUAGAGAAGUCUAAAAUAUCUUUUUGUAGACAUGUUCCCCAAUUAAUACUUUAGGAGAAAAUGCCAGGGUUAGCGAGUUGGGGAAUCAAUUUGUAUAUGAAAAUGGGGAAUCAAUUUGUUUAUGGAAAGAUAGGUGGGUUCCAGAUCUUAAUUACUCUGCGAUAUGUUCUCCAAUUAAUACUUUAGGAGAAAAUGUUAGGGUUAGUGAGUUGAUCAACCAUGAA